rnacentral:rRNA from 1 species
UGAAAUGGCGCUCUAUAAUGCAGUCGAGCGGACAGAAGGGAGCUUGCUCCCGGAUGUUAGCGGCGGACGGGUGAGUAACACGUGGGUAACCUGCCUGUAAGACUGGGAUAACUCCGGGAAACCGGAGCUAAUACCGGAUAGUUCCUUGAACCGCAUGGUUCAAGGAUGAAAGACGGUUUCGGCUGUCACUUACAGAUGGACCCGCGGCGCAUUAGCUAGUUGGUGGGGUAAUGGCUCACCAAGGCGACGAUGCGUAGCCGACCUAGGAAUGCUACUUAGAUCACAUUGACGUCAGCCACGUUCCAGUCGCUCCGCAGGUCAGCGCUAUGUAUCUUCUCAGCAACUGAUCUGAGUUCGAUGAGCACGCCCGCUUGAGUGAUAUGGAUUUUCGAUUCGUUACACGUCUUCGUAGUUAGGCAAGAACAAGUCGCAGACGUACUGGCUCGUCACCUUGACCGAUACCUAACCAAGAAAGCCAAGGCUUCUACGUGCCAGCAGCCGCGGUUAAUACUUAGGUGGCCAGCGUUGUCCAGUAUUUAUUGGCGUAAAGGCUCCGCCGGCCGGUUUUCUUUAAGUCUGAUGUGACAAGCCCCCGGCUCCAACCGGGGAGCGUCAUUGGAACUUGGAAACUUGAGUGCAGAAGAAGGAGAGUGGAACUCCCACGUGUAGCCGGUGAAAUGCGUAGAGAUGUGGAGGACCACCAGUGGCGAAUGGCGACUCUCUGGUCUGUAACUGACGCUGAGGAGCGAAAAGCGUGGGGAGCGAAACAGGAUUAGAUACCCCUGGUAGUCCACGCCGUAAACGAUGAGUGCUAAGUGUUAGGGGGUUUCCGCCCCUUAGUGCUGCAGCUAACGCAUUAAGCACUCCGCCUGGGGAGUACGGUCGCAAGACUGAAACUCAAAGGAAUUGACGGGGGCCCGCACAAGCGGUGGAGCAUGUGGUUUAAUUCGAAGCAACGCGAAGAACCUUACCAGGUCUUGACAUCCUCUGACAACCCUAGAGAUAGGGCUUUCCCUUCGGGGACAGAGUGACAGGUGGUGCAUGGUUGUCGUCAGCUCGUGUCGUGAGAUGUUGGGUUAAGUCCCGCAACGAGCGCAACCCUUGAUCUUAGUUGCCAGCAUUCAGUUGGGCACUCUAAGGUGACUGCCGGUGACAAACCGGAGGAAGGUGGGGAUGACGUCAAAUCAUCAUGCCCCUUAUGACCUGGGCUACACACGUGCUACAAUGGACAGAACAAAGGGCUGCAAGACCGCAAGGUUUAGCCAAUCCCAUAAAUCUGUUCUCAGUUCGGAUCGCAGUCUGCAACUCGACUGCGUGAAGCUGGAAUCGCUAGUAAUCGCGGAUCAGCAUGCCGCGGUGAAUACGUUCCCGGGCCUUGUACACACCGCCCGUCUCACCACGAGAGUUUGCAACACCCGAAGUCGGUGAGGUAACCUUUAUGGAGCCAGCCGCCGAAGUUGCCAGAAAUUCG